AAGAGAAGAGUUCAUAGCUCUGCUAGGGCUUUUGCCCCACUCUCUCCUCUCCAUCAACAUCGCUCAUUCCUUGUUCCUCACCCUCCGCGGUAGCUCGCUCUCUGAUCUCCUCCCUGCGACGUGGUCGUUCGCUGAUCUUCUCCAUCCACGCGGUUGCUCGUUCUCCCCUGCACCGUGCUUGUUCUCUGAUCCUCGACGCCACAACAUACUGCUGCCGCCGCCAUCACCACACUGGGGUUAACCAUAUUGGCACAAUGACGGAAUCUAUUCAGGCUGCACUUGACUCAAAGGCAGUAGGCUGGGUUGUCAUGGUUAGGCAUCGGAGUGAUGAGACUGAAGAUAAUUUCAUUGCUGAUCUCUCUGUCGGCUUGGCCAGUGGACAGCUUCUUCGCAUUGAAGAGGAACUUGAAAGCGUGCGAUAUGCUGGUGAAGCCUUCAGAUCACAUUACAGUGAAUAAGUGCUGAUCUCAAAUAUGUAUCUUGAAAUAUUAUUUCUGCAAGAGUCAUUAUCAUCAUCGAUUAAGUUAGGAAAACAAACAUUACCAAGCUCUUUUCAUGCAGGACUCGCUAACUACCAUCAGGAUGGUUGCAUGUUAAUCAAGCAUAGUUGGUGUUUAUAUUACAACAGUUGAAAAAACUUGGGCAGCAGAUGACUAUAUCAUUAACAGAAGCAUUUCCUUCACAGUGUUUCCAUAUUAUUAACAAUAGUUGCAAAUAUUAUAUUUCGCUCUAUAUUUACAUUGUUGUUGCUUCGAUUUCUGAAAAUAGAUAUAGUCUUCCUAAGGACUGGAAAGCAUUCUUUAAAUGGUGACAUUUUUGGUUUAGUUUCAACAAUAUUGCAUUGGUUACACUACUGUAGCAUUGUCUUAAAUAAAUAAUUUUUUGGCUGUAUUGGUGAACAUCUGAAUUUUUUAUUUAUAUUUGUUGCUUACCCUUAUUAGCUUAAUUGGUGAUUGUAAAUGGUGAAG